UACCACCCUGAACGCGCCCGAUCUCGUCUGAUCUCGGAAGCUAAGCAGGGUCGGGCCUGGUUAGUACUUGGAUGGGAGACCGAUUGUUUAUUUAACUU
rnacentral:rRNA from 1 species